rnacentral:rRNA from 1 species
ACACCGGCGCCCCGAGUGGUGUCCGCGAUUAUUGGGCCUAAAGUGUCCGUAGCCGGGGCCGCAAGUCCCUCGUGAAAUCCUCGGGCCUAACCCGAGGGCGGGCGAGGGAUACUGCGGCCCUAGGGGCCGGGAGGGGCCGGGGGUAUUCCCGGGGUAGGGGUGAAAUCCUGUAAUCCCGGGAGGACCACCUGUGGCGAAGGCGCCCGGCUGGAACGGGCCCGAUGGUGAGGGACGAAGGCCAGGGGAGCGAACCGGAUUAGAAACCCUAGUAGUCC